rnacentral:rRNA from 1 species
UUUCGCAAUGCCCGAAAGGGUGACGAAGCGACGCCGCGUGCGGGAAGAAGGCCUUCGGGUUGUAAACCGCUGUCGGGAGUUAAGAAAUGCAAGGAUGUUAAUAGCGUUCUUGCUUGACUAAGGCUCCGGAGGAAGCCACGGCUAACUCUGUGCCAGCAGCCGCGGUAAUACAGAGGCGGCAAGCGUUGUUCGGAAUUAUUGGGCGUAAAGAGCACGUAGGCGGCUCUGCAAGUCAGCUGUGAAAGCCUUCUGCUUAACGGAAGAACAGCAGUUGAAACUACAGGGCUUGAGUGCGGGAGGGGAGAGUGGAACUUCUGGUGGAGCGGUGAAAUGCGUAGAUAUCAGAAGGAACGCCGGCGGCGAAAGCGGCUCUCUGGUCCGUAACUGACGCUGAGUGUGCGAAAGCUAGGGGAGCAAACGGGAUUAGAUACCCCGGUAGUCCUAGCCGUAAACGAUGGGCACUAAGUAGAGGGGUUUU